UACGUAGGGUGCGAGCGUUAAUCGGAAUUACUGGGCGUAAAGGGUGCGCAGGCGGUUAUAUAAGACAGAUGUGAAAUCCCCGGGCUCAACCUGGGAACUGCGUUUGUGACUGUAUGACUAGAGUACGGUAGAGAGGGGUGGAAUUCCUGGUGUAGCAGUGAAAUGCGUAGAUAUCAGGAGGAACAUCGAUGGCGAAGGCAGCCCCUUGGACCUGUACUGACGCUCAUGCACCGAAAGCGUGGGGAGCAAACAGG
rnacentral:rRNA from 1 species